GAUGAACGCUGGCGGCGUGCUUAACACAUGCAAGUCGAACGAAGCACUCUAUUUGAUUUUCUUCGGAAAUGAAGAUUUUGUGACUGAGUGGCGGACGGGUGAGUAACGCGUGGGUAACCUGCCUCAUACAGGGGGAUAACAGUUGGAAACGACUGCUAAUACCGCAUAAGCGCACAGGAUUGCAUGAUCCGGUGUGAAAAACUCCGGUGGUAUGAGAUGGACCCGCGUCUGAUUAGCCAGUUGGCAGGGUAACGGCCUACCAAAGCGACGAUCAGUAGCCGACCUGAGAGGGUGACCGGCCACAUUGGGACUGAGACACGGCCCAAACUCCUACGGGAGGCAGCAGUGGGGAAUAUUGCACAAUGGGGGAAACCCUGAUGCAGCGACGCCGCGUGAGCGAAGAAGUAUUUCGGUAUGUAAAGCUCUAUCAGCAGGGAAGAAGAAUGACGG
rnacentral:rRNA from 1 species